CACGUAGGGCGCAAGCGUUUGUCCGGAAUUAUUGGGCGUAAAGAGCUCGUAGGCGGUCUGUUGCGUCCGCUGUGAAAGUCGGGGGCUCAACCCUCGAAUGCCGGUGGAUACUGUCGGGCUAGAGUGCGGGAGAGGCGAGUGGAAUUCCACGUGUAGCAGUGAAAUGCGUAGAGAUGUGGAGGAAUACCGAUGGCGAAGGCAGCCCCCUGGGAUAACACUGACGCUCAUGCACGAAAGCGUGGGGAGCAAACAGG
rnacentral:rRNA from 1 species